rnacentral:rRNA from 1 species
AUUGAACGCUGGCGGCAGGCCUAACACAUGCAAGUCGAGCGGGGUUUUCGGACCUAGCGGCGGACGGGUGAGUAAUGCGUAGGAAGCUACCCGAUAGAGGGGGAUACCAGUUGGAAACGACUGUUAAUACCGCAUAAUGUCUACGGACCAAAGUGUGGGACCUUCGGGCCACAUGCUAUCGGAUGCGCCGACGUGGGAUUAGCUAGUUGGUGGGGUAAUGGCUCACCAAGGCGACGAUCCCUAGCUGGUUUGAGAGGAUGAUCAGCCACACUGGAACUGAGACACGGUCCAGACUCCUACGGGAGGCAGCAGUGGGGAAUAUUGGACAAUGGGCGCAAGCCUGAUCCAGCCAUGCCGCGUGUGUGAAGAAGGCCUUCGGGUUGUAAAGCACUUUCAGUAGGGAGGAAGAGUUAAGUGUUAAUAGUACUCAGCUUUGACGUUACCUACAGAAGAAGCUCCGGCUAACUCUGUGCCAGCCGCCGCGGUAACAC